rnacentral:lncRNA from 1 species
AGACCUGAUUGAAAAUUCUGGAUCUGGCCACCUACCCUGUUUACAUUGAUGCAGAUUCAGCUGAGUGAAAUAAAUGUGAACUGGGCAUGUGAAGAGACAGCUGAAAGCCAUAAUCUCAAUAUGGAAACUUCAGGUAUCCAGUAAAGAAAUGGUGAAGGCGUUCGUUAUGUGGGAUAUGCUAUUACCACUGAACUUGAAGUUAUCAAAGAAGUUCUAUUCUUAACCAUUAAUCUGCUCAGGAUGCUAUAACAAUACCGUAAACUCUCAAACAACUUUAUUUCCUACAGUUCUGGAGGCUGGAAGUCCACAAUCAAAGUGUCAUGUUGUCAGGUUGUGGUGAGGGCCCUCUUUUGGGUGUAGAUUGCUGACUUUUCUGUAUGUGUUCACAUGGCAGAAAGAGAUUGAGCUAGCUCUUGGAUCCUUUCUUAUAAGGGCACCAAUCCCAAUACAAAGGCUCUACUCUCAUGACAUAAUUAUCUCUCAAAGACUCUACCUCCAAAUAUUAUCACAUUAGGGGAUAGAUUUUAACACAUGAAUUUGGGGGGAACACAUUCAGUCCAUAACAUCUCUUGAGUCUUCUAGGACCCAUAGGUUAUUUUGAAAGUGGCUUGUUCAGUUCCAAGUAUUUGAAGAUUUUUUUUUUUCUGUUAUCUUUAACAUACUGAUGUCUAGAUAGAUCCCAUUGUGCUCAGAGAACACUCCCUCUGUGAUUUCAAUUAUCUUAAAUUUGUUGAGAUUUUAUGACUUACUUUGGAUGUCAUCUGUCUUGGUAUGUAUUCUGUGGGGGGUGGGGGGUGCUUGAAAAAUGGGUAUUCUGCUAUUAUAGAAU